AGAGUCAGCGAAGGGAGAUAGGGGUGGGGCCGUUUUUUAGGAUUUGGGAAGGUAAUGGAAAAUUACAGUCAAAGGGGGUUGUUCUCUGGUGGGCAGGGGUGGAGGGGCGGAGGCGAGGAAGAAUCGGGACCUAGCUUGGCCUGGUGAGGAAGGGAGAGGUCAGAUGGGUCUGUAGAAAAGGAAGAUUAGAAAGACUCAGUGAUGCUUGGGGUUGGGACUGAGGGGACAGGCGGGAGGGGAAAGAAGGAAGAUUUGGGAUGAGUUGCACUGGGCACAGAGACUAGGAAGGGACCGAUGUGUAAAAGAAUGCCUGGACGUCAGGCACCUCAGACCAUUUGCCCAUUUUACGGCAAGAAUUAUUUAGAUCUUGUAGGAUGCAAAAAUUGAAAGUGCCGUUUUUCUGGCUAUUUGGAACUACUGUCGAGUUUGUAUUGGGGUCAAGUGGCAUUGCA
rnacentral:lncRNA from 10 species